AGCAGUCGCCACGGUAAUACGAAGGGGGCUAGCGUUGUUCGGAAUUACUGGGCGUAAAGGGCGCGUAGGCGGCCAUUCAAGUUAGAUGUGAAAGCCCUGGGCUCAACCUAGGAAUUGCAUUUGAUACUGUUUGGCUUGAGUUCGGGAGAGGUGAGUGGAAUUCCCAGUGUAGAGGUGAAAUUCGUAGAUAUUGGGAAGAACACCAGUGGCGAAGGCGACUCUCUGGUCUGUAACUGACGCUGAGGAGCGAAAGCGUGGGGAGCGAACAGGAUUAGAUACCCCGGUAGUCCCUGUCUCUUCUAC
rnacentral:rRNA from 1 species